rnacentral:rRNA from 1 species
GUAGGGAAUAUUGGACAAUGGGCGAAAGCCUGAUCCAGCCAUGCCGCGUGUGUGAAGAAGGUCUUCGGAUUGUAAAGCACUUUAAGUUGGGAGGAAGGGCAGUAAGUUAAUACCUUGCUGUUUUGACGUUACCGACAGAAUAAGCACCGGCUAACUUCGUGCCAGCAGCCGCGGUAAUACGAAGGGUGCAAGCGUUAAUCGGAAUUACUGGGCGUAAAGCGCGCGUAGGUGGUUUUGUAAGUUGGAGGUGAAAUCCCCGGGCUCAACCUGGGAAUUGCCUCCAAAACUGCAUGACUAGAGUACGGUAGAGGGUAGUGGAAUUUCCUGUGUAGCGGUGAAAUGCGUAGAUAUAGGAAGGAACACCAGUGGCGAAGGCGACUACCUGGACUGAUACUGACACUGAGGUGCGAAAGCGUGGGGAGCAAACAGGAUUAGAAACCCGAGUAGUCC